rnacentral:misc_RNA from 1 species
UUGAAUGAACUUAGAGUCGGUUGUCGCUGGCUGUUCUUUGCAGCAUGUGCACGCCUUCUCUUUUCAUCCACACACACCCCUGUGCACUUGUGAGACUGGAGACCGUAAAAAGUCCUUCAGUCUGCUAAAUUCAUAUACAAACUCAUUUAAUUGAACUGAAUGUACUUGAUGUAACGCAUCAUUAAAC